UACGAGGGGGGCAAGCGUUGUUCGGAAUUAUUGGGCGUAAAGGGCGCGUAGGCGGUGCGGUAAGUCUGAUGUGAAAUCUCCGGGCUCAACUCGGAGUCUGCAUCAGAAACUGCCGUGCUCGAGUGUGGGAGAGGUGAGUGGAAUUCCCGGUGUAGCGGUGAAAUGCGUAGAUAUCAGGAGGAACACCGAUGGCGAAGGCAGGUCUCUGGGCUGACACUGACGCUCAUGCACGAAAGCGUGGGGAGCAAACAGG
rnacentral:rRNA from 1 species